rnacentral:rRNA from 1 species
CCUGAGAAACGGCUACCACAUCCAAGGAAGGCAGCAGGCACGCAAAUUACCCACUCCCGGAACGGGGAGGUAGUGACAAAAAAUAACGAUACGGGACUCGAUAUGAGGCCUCGUAAUCGGAAUGAGUACACUCUAAAUCCUUUAACAAAAAUCUAUUGGAGGGCAAGUCUGGUGCCAGCAGCCGCGGUAAUUCCAGCUCCAAUAGCGUAUAUUAAAGUUGUUGCGGUUAAAAAGUUCGUAGUUGGUUNUGCGUCCCGCGCUGUCGGUACACCGUUUGUCGGUGACACUGGCAUGACGCGGGAUGUCCUGUCGGUGGCGGCGGAGACCAUAUCGUCGUCGGAUAACACCGCGGCGUGUUGGCCUUCUGUCGCCGGCUAUAUCCUACCGCGGUGCUCUUCACUGAGUGUCGAGGUAGGCCGACACGUUUACUUUGAACAAAUUAGAGUGCUUAAAGCAGGCAAAAAUCUCUGCCAGAAUAGUGGUGCAUGGAAUAAUGGAACAGGACCUUGGUUCUAUUCUGUUGGUCUCCGGAACACAAGGUAAUGAUCAAUGUGGACAGGCGGGCUUGGCAAAUGCUUUCGC